GCAUGUAUAAUUCAAUUGGUAGAGUGUAACCUUGCCAAGGUUAAUGUUAAGGGUUCGAAUCCCUUUGCGUGCU
rnacentral:tRNA from 1 species